rnacentral:misc_RNA from 1 species
CAGCAGUAGAAACCUGCAUUAUUAGGAAAAAAGUUAUGUGAGAGAGUUUCAUAACAUUAGUUCAAGCCCAGAGAGAAGCCUUUUGCCUAAGGUCAUGAACUGAAAUACCCACAAUUUCAGUCUUCAUGUCGCAACCAAAGGCAACACAGGUUUGUAGAUUAUAAUUUGAAUAAAUCAACCUUUAUGUUACAAUUUGAAGUUAAGAUUUGCAGAUUAUUUGAAUAAAUUCCUUAUGCUUACAAGCAAACUGGUUUAUUUGUGAUUGCAGCCAUAACCUGGUGCAUGAGAUCAGCCACAAGAAUAAAUUUAUGAAUUAUUUGUAUCGUAUACUUAGCAGACAAAGAACAUUAUAAUUUAGCUUUCUUGCAUUUCUUCUCAUGGUCUUUAAGCAUGUACCUGAGGAGAAGGAUAGAUGGUG